UUGAAUCAGAAACCCUAAUUCCUAAUUUCAAACCCUAACCCUUCCACCCUCACCAUCCCUCAGCCGUACCCCACCCCCCUUCCUAAACACAACACGCAUAAACAAAAGAAAGAAACAGAGAAAUGAAAAAGGGAGAACAGAGGGCUUGGAAUCGGAGAGGAGGGAGACGCCGUCGUCACCUCCGUCGGGUGUCACCAUCGGUCACUGCUACCUCACCGUCGCCUCCUUCGUCGCGCGCUACUGCCGGCCUGGAAUCGCCGCCACUGCACCUUGCCCGCUUGUCGCCGCCGUUCCGUGGAGUCCGCCCUGGUGCCGGUUGAUCAGAGAUGAGGGAUAGGCGUCGAGAGAGAGAUGCAAUGGAGGUCAGAGGGAAGAGCUGCCAUCACCGCCGUCCCGUCUAUGAAGCCUGAGCUCGCGUUGCCGUCCUGAGCUUCGGCGCCGCCGUGGAGGAGAGUGGAGUAGUCACCGCCGUUGGAGAGAGGGAGAGCCAGAAGAGGACGAGACGUGUGAGAAAGGAGACGCACAGGGGAGGAACCGUUCCUCUGCCGCCGCUAUCGCCGGAAUUUCUGGUCGCCGUCGUCGUUCAUGGUAAGUCAGUUAAGUCAUAGCCAUGAGAACCGCUACCUCUGAACCCCAGUUGCUCUGUAACAAUCCUGUAUUUUCCUCUGAUAUUGUCGACUCUGUUCUGCUUUUCUUUUGUUUUGUCGUUCUUACUUCGUUGGUGUCCUUGUUGUUCUAACCGAUUUGAUUGGUGCUGCUGCUAAGACGUAUGCCCUGCUCUCUGGUUUCUGUUUUUCCGAGUACCAGAGCUGCUGCUCCAUUCCCGUAUUUCUUUUGGUAAGAUAGGUUUUGUUCUACAAUCAAUAUUCUGAUUACUGCUCCUUUGAUGAUCUGUUCUGUUUUACCCUUGUGUUUGCUUCAGCCUCUAUUAAAUUCCCUUCCAAAAUUGCUGUUGCUGCUACUAGAGUUGUGGGUGAUGCCGCUGCCAUUCCAGUUGUAUUGGAAUGACUACCUGCCACAAUUUGGGGAUAAAGGAAAUUGUUACGUUAAAUAAUACGAUUCUGGCUAAUUGAGUGACAUAGGUUUGAAGACUCAG